rnacentral:rRNA from 1 species
CAUAGCGACUAUCGUGGCAUAUCAAUAAGCGGAGGAAAAGAAACUAACAAGGAUUCCCCUAGUAACGGCGAGUGAAGCGGGAAGAGCUCAAAUUUGAAAUCUUCAAGGUUUGACCUUGACGAAUUGUAGUUUAAAGAAGUGUUUUCGGUUAGAGGAGUAGUAAAAGUUCUUUGGAAUAGGACAUCAUAGAGGGUGAGAAUCCCGUAUUUGACUAUUCUUUCUAGCUUUGUGAUACACUUUCAAAGAGUCGGAUUGUUUGGGAAUGCAGUCCAAAAUGGGUGGUAAAUUUCAUCUAAAGCUAAAUAUUGGCGAGAGACCGAUAGCGAACAAGUACCGUGAGGGAAAGAUGAAAAGAACUUUGAAAAGAGAGUUAAACAGUACGUGAAAUUGUCAAAAGGGAAGCGUUUGACACCAGUGUUGUUUUUCCGAAAAUCAAUUAAAAAUUGAUUCAUGCCAGGUUGUAUUGACCUUAUCAGCUUGCAAUUUGGUUUUGGGUCUCUUUUUGAUGCACUUUUCGGUUAACAAGUCAACAUCAAUUUCCUUUGCUGUAAAAAGGUAAGAGGAAGGUGGCUUCAAUUUCGGUUGAAGUGUUUAUAGCCUUUUAUCUCUGCAGUCGGGGAGAUUGAGGUCUGCAGCGUAGAUCCUUCGGGGCUAGAUACAUUUAUGCUAAGUUAUAGCUUUUCAUAGACAACUUGUUGACUAUGUUUAGUCAUGUAGCUUACUCGUAAGUGCUAUUUUACCUACGCUUAGGAUGUUGACGAGACUGUCGAUCUCAUAGCGACUAUCGUGGCAUAUCAAUAAGCGGAGAAAAGCGCAUUAAAGAUCCAGAUACCUACGCUUAGGAUGUUGACGAGACUGUCGAUCUC